rnacentral:rRNA from 1 species
GAUGAACGCUGGCGGCGUGCCUAAUACAUGCAAGUAGAACGCUGAAGCUUGGUGCUUGCACCGAGCGGAUGAGUUGCGAACGGGUGAGUAACGCGUAGGUAACCUGCCUCUUAGCGGGGGAUAACUAUUGGAAACGAUAGCUAAUACCGCAUAAAAGUCGACAUCGCAUGAUGUUGACUUGAAAGGUGCAAUUGCAUCACUAAGAGAUGGACCUGCGUUGUAUUAGCUAGUUGGUGAGGUAACGGCUCACCAAGGCGACGAUACAUAGCCGACCUGAGAGGGUGAUCGGCCACACUGGGACUGAGACACGGCCCAGACUCCUACGGGAGGCAGCAGUAGGGAAUCUUCGGCAAUGGGGGCAACCCUGACCGAGCAACGCCGCGUGAGUGAAGAAGGUUUUCGGAUCGUAAAGCUCUGUUGUAAGAGAAGGACGAGUGUGAGAGUGGAAAGUUCACACUGUGACGGUAACUUACCAGAAAGGGACGGCUAACUACGUG